GAUACUUGCCUUUUAUUCACCGGCUGCCAGUCACAUAUGGGGAUUAUUGUUGUCGUCUAACUUUAAUUUCUGCAAUUCAAGAACACCUAAGGAUGAGCGGUUGCAGUCGCCGUACUGCAGACGUGUGCACAACACACUUUUCAAGAAUUUACCAAGAAACGGUGUCCUGGAGCGGAGUGUCAAAGCGAUGCCAUGCAGAUAUUCAUUUGUUUUACAUGUAAACAAACCAAGAAACCAGUCGGACAAUUUCCUGCCUUCCCACACAGACGUGCACAUUCCCUCUCAUUCUGUUCCAUCCAUCCAUUACAUAAUCAGGCCCAGAGGUUCUUGUUCCUCUGUAACUUUUCCCCAAACUGAGGAAAACAACAAACAAUUAAAUUCAGCUAAAGCAAACAAGCUCAAACUUUAACAUAUUUUAUUGGAAUUUUACGUGACAAUAACACAAAUGCAAGUGCUUACUCAUCAAGAAAGGAAACGAUGACAAAUGAUACCUUGUUCUGUCUAAACUUUGAAGAGUCCAGAGUGGGUCAGUUUAUGAGAUUACUAUUUAAAACCAAAGGUGAUUGUUUCAAUAAUACUUGAUGUGUUACAACACCACCACAGCAAAAUUCAAGAACUCUACAGGAGGUGAACCGAUGCCACUGAUGGAGCUGGAGGGAAACAAAAGAUAAAACCUCUCUACAUGACUGUGUUCACUCUUUUCAGCAGUAAAAUGGAAGUUUAA